CCCUUCGGUUCGGAAUAACUCAGGGAAACUUGAGCUAAUACCGGAUACGCCCUUUUGGGGAAAGGUUUACUGCCGAAGGAUCGGCCCGCGUCUGAUUAGCUUGUUGGUGGGGUAACGGCCUACCAAGGCGACGAUCAGUAGCUGGUCUGAGAGGAUGAUCAGCCACACUGGGACUGAGACACGGCCCAGACUCCUACGGGAGGCAGCAGUGGGGAAUAUUGGACAAUGGGCGCAAGCCUGAUCCAGCCAUGCCGCGUGAGUGAUGAAGGCCUUAGGGUUGUAAAGCUCUUUUGUCCGGGACGAUAAUGACGGUACCGGAAGAAUAAGCCCCGGCUAACUUCGUGCCAGCAGCCGCGGUAAUACGAAGGGGGCUAGCGUUGCUCGGAAUCACUGGGCGUAAAGGGCGCGUAGGCGGCCGAUUAAGUCGGGGGUGAAAGCCUGUGGCUCAACCACAGAAUUGCCUUCGAUACUGGUUGGCUUGAGACCGGAAGAGGACAGCGGAACUGC
rnacentral:rRNA from 1 species